UACAGAGACUGCAAGCGUUAUUCGGAUUCACUGGGCGUAAAGGGUGCGCAGGCGGCCGUGCGUGUGAGGCGUGAAAGCCCGGGGCUUAACCCCGGAAUUGCACCUCAAACUACACGGCUAGAGCAUUGGAGAGGGUAGCAGAAUUCACGGUGUAGCAGUGAAAUGCGUAGAUAUCGUGAGGAAUACCAGAGGCGAAGGCGGCUACCUGGACAAUUGCUGACGCUCAGGCACGAAAGCGUGGGGAGCAAAAGGG
rnacentral:rRNA from 1 species